CCGCGGACGCUGCGCGAGUGCGGGGCCCGGCCCGGCCCGCGCCGGUGCGACUCCGGGGUUGAGGGAGCGCCGCUCGGGCGGGGAACCGAGACUGCAGACCCAGGGGCUGGUUGCUUGGGGAAAGUGUUGAGCUGCCUCACCCAUUUUUUUUUAACAUUUUUCCAUCCCCAGCGGUGCUCAUCCCCGUCCUCUCCUUUCUUUAUCUCCCAUUUUUCUCCCUCUUCUAAUUCUUUUUCCUCGCUGAAGUCCUUUGGCGAAAGAAAAUUUCACUUGGAGGGCCUGAGUGUGAAUAAAGGUCUGGGGUGUGCUGAAUGAAACUGCCACUGAUUGACUUUGUUUACUGCCAAAGACACGUUGGAGGGGAAACGUCAAAGAUUCCAAACGUGCUUCCACUUGAGGGUGGUGGUAUUCAAGUGAUUUUUUUUCUUCCUGCUCUGAACUCUUUGUAAGGGAACAUUAGUUUAAUGAAAAGGAUCGUAUAAUAGUAAACAUACGACGUUUAAGGGUAAGAUAAGAAAUCAGAAGAAACAAGAUCCCUUCAAAAUACAGUCUCAAAAAAUAACUGAUCUAUUUGCUAUGCAGGAAGUUACAGGAUUGCUAGGGUGAUGAAGAGGUGAAAUGAUGGAGGAGAGGAGGCCUAAAACACAGCUGAUGGGAAAAAAAUAAAAAUUAUGUGGCCUUAUUUGUCCCAUCCACCUGCCAAAUGUAAAGAUUAUUGCUGUUUGUGAAGACCAAUAAAGUCUACCGAAGCUGUCAGUAACAAAAAAAAUUGCCAGUGGCUGAAAUGACCAAAUUAAAAAAAAAUCAGUAUUAGAUACAGUUUCUAACACUUGUAGCAAAUAUGUUGGAAGACUUCAGAUGAGAAAAGUACAAAAAAUAAUAUAUAAAUCUUAGAAGCUUUUUGUAAACUGGCAGCAAAGUUAACUAACUUGUUUAAUAACUGGUUAUCUACUGAAAUUGAUACAUGCUAUUUAGGAAACUGGGUUAAGCUAUGGGAGAAACAGUUCCAGGCAAUGUACAGUUUGAUACUCAUUGUUCAAGGAUUCCAUAUUUCAAAUUCACCUACUCACUAAAAUUUAUUUGUAGCCCGAAAAUCAAUGCACGGCACCAUUCGUAGACAGCUUGCCUGACACACCCACAUUUCCAGCUGAGGUUGAACAAGCUAGCCCUCCUUUAUUUUACCUCUCAUGCUGUUAAUUUGCCUUUUCACAGUAUAUUGGUGCCAUGUGGUUUCUUUCCGGUUUUGUACUCUUUGGUGAUUUUGCUGUUGUAGAUGCCCCUACGAGUAUUGAUGAAGUGCUGUCUAGUAUUCCUAAGAAAAAGAAGGCUGUGAUAUUAUGGAGAAAACACAUGUGCUAGGUAAGUUUCAUUCAAGCUUGUCAUUAGUGCUUUUGGCCAUUAACGACAUAAGUUCCAUGUAUGUUAAGGUGUCUUUAAAGAGAAACACACAUAAAACAAGGUUAUGUAGUAAUCAUUUGACACAAACAUGACCAGAAAUUUGGAGGAACUUAGCUGUAUAUUUACUAUGGGAGUAAUUCAGUGUUCUCAGUGACUUUAUUGAACAUAACUACCACAAAUAAUAAGAAGCACCUGUGUUUACUAAAGGACACAUCUAACUCUUAUACUCAUUUUUUAAAAUUCAUCUCAUUGCCUAGCUUAAAUAAAUCCUUUGCAAAUACCCUCAUCUCUUUUUCCUCUUCAACUCCUUCAACGUGCCUGGGUAAAUUGCUGUAUACCUGCUACAGAGCAUUUCAACUUGGCUGGAGAAAAAGUCAUCCUAACUGGUAAGUGAGUUCCUUCUGUUCCUGGCCCCUCAAGCUGUAUUUACCUAAUCCAUUUACCCUGACCUCUUAACCAGCUUUUUUAUAUCUUCUAAACACACCAAUACCUCCUCACUUGUAGGUCAUUAUCUUGCUUCUUACCUCUCUAAGAAAAUAGAAGAAACCACAAAACAGUAACAAUUUCGCACCAUUGCACCUACCUGCCUGUCUGCAUUAUACCAAGCAUGUCUCUGCCUCAGGACCUUCAACUACUGUCCCUGUACCUGGAAUGCUCUUCCUCUUGGUACUUAUUUGGCCCACACUAUCACUUCUUCAGGAUCUCUGCUUAAAUCUCACCUUGUUAGAUCUUUCCUGAGAACUAUAUAAAUGGGACUCCACCACCAUCUCUCUCCCUUUCCCUAUUCUGUUUUUCUUAAACCAUUUGCUAUAUA